rnacentral:lncRNA from 1 species
AUUCCGGCCUCUCAAAGAGGGAGGGCGAGGGGGACGCUUCUAAUUCCAGAAGGAAGCCGAGUUCUCUCUUAAGUCAGUGCCUGGGCCCACGGGCGAACCCGGGACUGCUCUUUCAACUCACACUGAAACCUGGCCCAACUUCCUCUCUCUGACCUCAGGCUUCAGAAGAUGUCCCACAAACUGCUCACCACAGCCGGGCGUAGUGGCGCACGCCUGUGAACCCAGGACUCAGGAGACGGAGGAGGCAAGAUCACUGCGAGUUCGAGGCCAGCCUUGGCUAAACACCUGGCUGGGAACAUUAGAAGGGACCGAGGCGGCGAGAUGUCUAAAAUAGGAAGACGCCGGGGAUGCUUGGCCUGGCUGCCCGCGAUGCUGGCUGCAGGGAUCUGGCCGGGCUGUGCAGAUGGAAAAGCUAAGAGGCCUAAAAGUCGUGGAAUCAGCUGACCAUGGACUGAAACCUCUGAAACCAUGAGCC